GGGCCAUUAGCUCAGCGGUAAGAGCAUCCGGCUCAUAACCGGCAGGUCCUGGGUUCAAAUCCCCGAUGGCCCACCA
rnacentral:tRNA from 1 species